CAGUUCAUCGGUGAACAGGGAGUAGAAUAUGGACAGUAUUGAAUAAUGCCAGAUACUAAAGGAAGAAAACGUGCGAGAAACCCUCUUGUUUAUACAGGAUAGUAACAUUUUCUUAGCCCCAUCUUCGUAUGGUGCCGUACACCUGAAAUGAAACUAGAUAUGUCUUUAAUUUGAAGUCAACGAUUAUGUUACAAAAUAGAAAAUCGAGUCGCUUAAAAAUCAAAUGCCAAGGUCACACAGCAGGUGGAGAGUCACUCUCUGAAAGAGAACAAAGUAAUUUUCUGAAGGGAAGCUGCAGAAUAUGGAAAACAUAUAUUGGAGCUACAUGGAGUAGGAGACACUUUCCUGGUUAUGGCCAGAGAGUGAUGUGACUAUGGAAGAAUGGCUUUGAAGAUGGAAUAAAGGGGCCAUGAGCCAAGGAAUGUGGAAGGCUUCUCGAAUUUAGAAGGAACAAGGAAAUGAAUUCUCUGUUAAAGCCUCCAGAAAGGAUCAGAGCCUUGCUAAAACCUUGAUUUUUAGCACGUGAUAAGUAGUAGAAGAGCCUACUUUAAGGAAGAAGAAAUGUUAGAAAGUUUAGGACUAGGAAGUCUGAUGAGAAAGUAUGUGGAUGGACCUAUGGGACUCGGCACAAAGUGUAAAGAUUUUUGCAUUACAAGUGAACACCAACCAUAAAGGAUAUAUCACAAAAGAGGUACUGAAUAAACAGAAUGACUCCAAUGGUUGGCAUCAACAAGCUUCUAUCCUCAAAGCUGGAACAAUGGGCACAAGAAGGGUAGUCAUCAUGACUGUGGAUGGCCCCACAGCAUGAGCUCUCACUUACCAACAGUGAUUUGGCUAUUGCUGCUGCCAAAUGUCCAACCUGUCAGGAACAGAGACCAAUAUUGAGCCCUUGAUAUAGAAUCAUCCAUGGAGGAGAAUCAAAUGACAAGUUAAUUACAUGGAUCCCUUCUAUUAUGUAAGGGGCAAUGAAUGAUUCAUCUUGAUUAGAAUUGACACAUAUUUCAGGUAUGGAUUUUCCUUUCCUGCCAAUAGUGCUUCAGCUGCUUCCACCAUACUUAUGGAGUGUUUGAUCUCAUGACACAGGAUCUUCCCAAUAUCACAUCAAACAAAGGGAUUCAUUUUAUUGCAAAAGAGAUGUGGUAGUGAGCACGUGACCAUGUGAUUCACUGAUUCUUUCACAUAACACUUCACCCAGAACUGUAAACAAUUGCCGGCCGGAUAGAGCAACGGAAUGGCCUGUUGAAGAAUCAGCUUAAGCACCACCUUAGAUACAAUAAUACCCUAUGCAGUAUACCCUCUGAAUCAAUGGCCAGCAUAUGUUGCUGUGUUCCCAGCAAAUAGAAUUUAUGGAUAUGGGAAUCAAAUGUAGAAGUAGAGGUGGUCCUGUUUACCAUCAUUGUCAGUGACCCAAUUGGGGAUUUUGUGCUACUCAUCUCCAUAGCUCUGAGAUUUGUAGGUUUAGAGGUAUUGUUCCCAAAAGGUGAGCAUUUCCACCAGGAGACACAGCAAGAGGCCCAGUGAACUUUAAACUAUGGCUGUCACUGGGGCAUUUCUGCCUUCUACUGCCAAAGGAUCAGGCAACGAGAGCAGUCACCAUCCUGGCAGGUUUAUCAUUCUAAAUACUGGGAGGAGGUCAGGCUGCUCUUAUACAGUGAUGGCAAAAAGGAAUGUAUUUGGCAUCUCUUGGUAUGCCCUUGCACAACUUUGACAGUAAAUUGACUAGUAAAGUAUUGAUGACCUGAGAAAGGUAUGGUGACUCUCAAGGAUGAGUGACUGGAUCAUCCCACCAGGUAAGCCAACAAGACCAGCAGAGGAGCUAGUCAAGAGAGGAUCACAUGAAGCCAAGAGUUGAAGACCAGCCUGGGUAACACAGUGAGACCUCCUCAUCUCAAAACAACCCAGUGUGGUGGUCCAGCAUGGGUGACAGAGACCCAUCUCUAAAAUUAAUAAACAAAUAAAUCUGGUUUACUAUGUGAAACAAAGAUGUACAUCACUGUAUACUGCAAAAGGCAUGCAGUCUAAUGUUGGAUAAUCUAGAAAAAGUAAGACAAUUAUAACACAAUGGGAUAAGUGUUAAGAUGGAGGGAAGUAUAGAUGUUUGGGAACACAUAGGAAAAAUAAUUAAUAGAGUGGGUUACCAAAAUUAAGUAUGUUUUCCUAAAGAAGAUAACUCUUGUCCUGAGCCUUAACAAAUGAGUUGGAGCUAACUAGGCAGAGGAGGUUGUUGACAGAUGCAGUAUGAUGGUGCCAAGGAUUUCAAUUAAGU
rnacentral:lncRNA from 10 species